UAACAAACCAGUUCUCUUCUCUUGAGUCCAGGGUGGCUCCAUUGAGAUCCCUUUUUCCUUCUACUUCCCCUGGAAUUUGGCCAAGGAUCCACAGAUGAGCAUAGCCUGGAGAUGGAAAGACUACCACGGGAAAUUCAUCUACAACUCCACUCUACCUUUCAUUCAUGAGCACUUCAAGGACGGGCUCAGCCUGAACUGGACACAGGGUCAGAUAUCUGGACUCCUCAGAAUCCUUAACUUGAAGGAGAAUGACCAGGCCACAUACUUCUGAGCACCACAGAAGAUAGGAAGAGAUGGCAGUCGAUCCCUGGGACCCAACUCUCCAUUGUCCAUGCACUCAGCACCACCAUGAGGAUCCCCUCCAUCAUCUCUUCUGUAGUCUUCACAACUGGUCUGGAGGACACAGGAGAUCAGAUGAAUCAUUCACUGCUGAAUCUGGUAGCCAUAGAUGGGAUGGUCAUGGCCAAAGUUGUGGUCACCUUCCCCAUCUGUGGAUGGAUGAUCUUUCUGUUGUGGAAGCAAAGGUAAGUGGUCCAUGACCGGCCUCAUCUGAACUUCCCACUGGGAGUGUUCUCAGCAGUGGGAGAUGGAGAGCAGCAGGCUUGGGCAGGGACCAGUAAAGAGAACAAAAAGAGGAAAAUGUGCCUGAACUCUACAAGGACUGCAUCCAUGAAGCCUGCUGUCCUUCCUGACCACCUGGAAAUUAGAGUAGCAAAUGCAGAUGAACACAGAGCCCGCUCUUAAGGAAUUCAAGGAGGCAUGCAGGAGCCUCAGGGGCUGACUGCUCCUCUGGAAAGAGCUGUGGCUGCUAAAGAAGAUCUGAGGGUAGACCAGCAUUUGCAGACACCAUGUUACAGGCAGUGAUAGCUAUAAAAAGGAACACCUCUUUUUGUUGGGCAUGUGUGACUAAAAUGGAAAGUAAUAGACCCAUAAACAGAAAGAAAUCUAUACAGAGAACCUAUCAUUACAACGAGCUAAAGAGUUGGACACUAGAAAUCUAAUCCUCCUGAGCAAAAAUAUGAAACACCUAUUGAAGGGUCUCAGUUGAAGUGAUUGCCCCACAAACAGGGACAUGAGUAUCCCAUAAACCACAUAAAGAGUUUUCAGAUACUUGGAAAGGCAGAGAAACUAUGAUUCCUGGGGCUCACUGUGCUGUAAGCCUUCCCUAGUGGGUGAGAACUAUGACUGACCUGUCUCAAAAUCCAGAGAGAACAUCUCCCGAAAGACAAUGUCAAAGUUUUCCUCUACCAUCCACAUGUGUCUGCACAUAUGCACAUAUACACAUGUUCCUGGAGAAAUACUUUAAAUGUAGUGAUUUUUGGAGAAUGGCAAAUUUUAUACAUUAAGUCCUAAUUACACACAUGCACACAAACAUACACGCAUACAGCUAAAAAUACAAUGAAGUUCCUGUUUGAAAUCCAAUUGUAUUUCUGUAAAAAUAAAUGAUUUGUCUUCAAAUUUUCAUGGUUACUCUAAGAAAUAAAAAUGGGGACACAGAGGGGGACACAAUAAUCCCAGCCCUUGCAAAAUGCAACGUGUUUCAAGGUUAUCUACAAUUGCAUGGCACCAUAGGUCACUAGGAUCCAAAGACCUUCUACACACAACACAAGACUCAAGCGUGGACUGAAGUCAUAGCGGAUUUAAAACCAUGGGACCUAGCAGACUAAAAGAUAAGGACUGAUAUGCAUAGAUGGUGGAGGGUUUACAAAUACCAUUUAACAAUGUUAAAUGUUAAGUAGAAAAACUUAGAGGAGGGAGACCAGCAGCAUAAGAGACAGCAGAAGUCUGACUUGGAUUCAUAACUUAAGGCUGAAUCUGCAGGGUGGCAGGAGACAUGGUGACGGCAGAGCAGAGAAGGCAUGAAAGUGUCAAGAGGUCAGAGCAGGGGGAAGGUGGGAAAGGGAGAUGGGACAUGGACAUGGGUCAGUGGACCAGUAGAUUUUUCCAUUGAUUUGCUGUGCUGUACAUAAGGUCAGCCGAACACUACCUUCAGGUCCUACUGAUUCUCAGACCUGUCCCCAAUGGCUGGAGCAGAGCUGUUUCUGGUCUUGGGACCCUCAUGUUGUCUAAACACGGAGAACAGCUGAAAAGCAGGACUGAGAACGAGUCUGGCUGACAUACUGACACAGUUUCUUCUCCUGCAGGCCAGCAGAGGAAAGACUAAACCCCAGACAGGGUUGCUCACAUGCUCCUGGUGAGACAUUGUCUAUUUGUCCCCAGCUAACAGACCUCCAGGUGCCAGUUUCUCUCACCAGGGAGGAGAAUUUUCAUCAAAGUAGUAAUUGGUGAACCCACAUCAGCAUCUUACACCUUCAAAUUCUUGAUCUUGGGAAUUAGAACAUGCAGGGCUCUAGGACUGUUCUUCCAAACAUUCUUGGGCAGGCAUCGCAAGAUAACCCCACUUCUGCCAUAUGGGUUCUGAUGUCCUGUCCUCAGAACUCAGAUCAUCCAGUCUGUCUUUGGUCCUGAGAGUUCAACUGUGCUGUUCUUUCUUUGCUCCUGGAGUUAAUGAUACUUUUUAGUAGAUGAGAGAUCAGAAAGUAAAGCAAACCAAGGAGCUAGUUCAGAGUAAGGCUGAGGUGUAGAUGUGUCCAAACCCUGAAAAUCUUAUCUUGACACCAGCUGAGUUAGGACAGGUCUGAGCGUUCAGGAGCAAGAAGCCUAUACCACCACCACCUCCUACACUCUUUUAGUAGGCACAGAGAAAGAUGGCUGAAUUACAGUUCUAACUUUCUCUUGGGCUCUAAGGACAGGUCCAGCAAACACAUGGAAUUUCUCUUCAUGCAAAUGAAGGUGUCCCAGAACCUAUCACACAGAAAGUUUAAUAUAACCCUUGUUACCCCAUUUUUGAGUUUGCUGCUUGGGCCUUGGAACCAUAUUUGACCUCUAGUGUCCAUAUAAAGAGGCCAGCAAAACCUUUAAUCUUAGCAAAAGAGAUAGAGGCAGGCAGAGCUCUGUGUGUGGACAGUUAGCCUGGUCUAUGUGUCUAGUUCCACACCAAACAGAGCUGUGUGAGCUGUAAUCCUAGGACUGAGGAAGUGCAGACAGGCUUGUCUGUACAGCUCACUGGGCAGUCAAUCUAGUCUCCAUGGGAAAAUUGAAGUUAGUGAGAGAGCCUGAUUCAAAAAAUGAGAAGGAUGAGACCUUAGGCUCUCCUCUAGCCUCAACAUGCAUAAACCAAUGCAUGCACACAAAGACAGAUAUAGAGAGACACAGGAACAUAGAUACACAAACAGGGAUACACACACACACACACACACACACACACACACACACACACACA